rnacentral:rRNA from 1 species
UACGUAGGCAGCGAGCGUUGUUCGGAAUUACUGGGCGUAAAGAGUGUGUAGGCGGUGCUCUAAGUCUGUCGUGAAAUCUCCCGGCUUAACCGGGAGGCUGCGGCGGAAACUGGUGUGCUAGAGGGUGGGAGAGGUAAGCGGAAUUCCUGGUGUAGCGGUGAAAUGCGUAGAUAUCAGGAGGAACACCUGCGGUGUAGACAGCUUACUGGACCACUUCUGACGCUGAGACACGAAAGCGUGGGGAUCAAACAGG